rnacentral:lncRNA from 1 species
CCAGGCUGGAGUACAGUGGCAUAUUCACAGCUCACUGCAGCCUCCAAUUCCUGGGCUCAAGGGAUCCUCCUGCCUCAGCCUCUCACGUUGCUAGGAUUGUAGGUACAAGCCACCAUGUGUAGCUCCCCAAACCAUUCUUCUUAUCUCAGAAAGAAAUCCUCUGGAUUUAGCUAUAUUUGACAUUUCAUGUAAAUAUAAGCAGACAAUAUGCGUCCUUUUGGCCUGAGUUUUUUCACUGAGUGUCAUGUUUCAAGGCCGUGCUCCAUUUUUUUUGUGAUUGACUACUAUUCCAGCCUACGAAUAUGCCGCACGGUGGUUCAUCUCUCUCUGCCGAUGGACAUUUGGGCUGUUUCUACGUUUCGAAUGAUGUAAACGAGCUGUGUGUCUUCUUCAAUAAAUGCCCAUUGAAGUCUUUUGCCUAUUUUUUAAUGGGGUUGUUGGUCAUUUUGUUGCUGAGUUGUAUGCAUAGUUUAUGUGUUCUGGAUACUUGAUCCUGAUGAGCUCAGUGAACAUUUAUAAACAAACUGACCAUAGCAGCCCCCACUCCAAUGAAAACGCCACCUGUGACGGCCCCCAGAGGCCCCUCGUCCCUCCUGGUCCCUGCCCCGGGGGCCCCAUCCUGACUUCCAUUGCUGGCAGCGGGUAGGUUCAUGUCGGCUGCUCUUGAAUUCCUCCUGCCUGGGCUGCCCCGCGUGAUCCACUGAGUGUGGCAGAGACGUGUCGUGCUGCUGCCUUCAGCAGCUCCACCUGCUUGCUGAGAAGGUUCCCGGUGCGUUUGGAAGGCAGAGGCUCCUGGGCUUGCAGGUAGGUGAACGCGCUGACAGAGAGGACUCGGCCGGCGCACCCCCUCACCCCCGUCCACCAUCCUGAACACCUAGUCCUCACACAUCCUGGAAGAUUUGCAGCCUCAGUCUCUUCCAAAUGUGUCUUACUCCUCUCUGCUCACCCUGGUGCCAGGCAUCCGCCUUUGCCCAUCCAGACCCAGCACCAGUGCCCUGCCCUCCCCUUGGCUUCUGUGCUGCCCGGCCAUGCCCCUUCCUUCCAGACAGUUCAGGUCAUCCUAAAACGUUCAUCCAAGCCCUUUGCCCACAGGAUAAAGUCCACACUCCUCUUACAGUCCUGUGACCCACAGGCCUCCUUGGAAUUUUGGGGCUGAGUCCUUUCUGCUCUGGGGCUUCACAACCCUUUUGUCCUCUGGCCUCCUCUUCCAGGAAGUCCUCCAAGGGCAAGCCUUGCAGGACUCAGACUAGGCACCCACCCCAAUGCUUGUCGAUGAGAAAGCCUCAGUCAGGAAGGAACUCGGGCAGACCAGGGAUGGUGCCCCUGCUCCAUGACAUCUGGGAGUCUGCUCUAAGACCAGGAGGCUGGGGCCCACCUGGGCUGCCAGCUGCACCUGCCUCCCUGGGCCACCUCCUUUUCAUGGCCUGGGUUUGGAAGCUACCCACUGCCACUUUGUAUUGCGCGGAGCAGUCUGGAGGGGACAGGCCCAGUGGCCACUGCUCCAUGGGGUGAGUCUCAGCUCUGGAGAGCGCAGGGCCGGGAACAUCAUGUCAGGGACACCCUGGAGCUGUGGUAUCCCCGACACGAGCAUAAGGCACAGCAGCACUCAGUCCACAUUUGCCAAAGGAAAGGGGAACAGCCAACACGCAUGACCCCUCACCGCGUGCAGACGACGCGUGACCCCUCACCGCGUGCAGACGACACGUGUGACCCUCACCGCGUGCAGACGACACGUGUGACCCUCACCGCGUGCAGACGACACGUGAGACCCUCACCGCGUGCAGACGACACGUGAGACCCCUCACCAUGUGCAGUCACCUUGCUAGGCAGCUUAUGUGCCUUCUCUCGUUUCAUCCUCAGGUUUGGGAAAAUUAUCCAGAACUUGGAAAGGGGUAAAAACAUCACUGCCUGCUCUUUGGAUCCUGGACCCUCGGCACGGUGGGCCUCAGAGCUGAUCAUUCCCUGGGGUGGGGCCGUCCUGGGCACUGCUGGGUGCUGAGCAGUGUCCCUGGCCUCCGCCCACUCCACACCAGGAGCUCCCCUAGUCGUGACAACCACAGAAGCCCCAGACGUUGCCCCGUGUCCCCGAGGGGCCGAAUCACCCAGAGGAUCAGUUGUAUUCCAGAGCCUCGACCAGCCCGGCCACCCGGGGGUCACUUUGUGGACGCUUCCCUCCACUCUUGCCAGUGUCCUGGCUCUGGGGUUGGACGCUGCUUGGGAUUGACAAAUGCGGAUGAGUUUUGUCCCUGAGCGGCAGGUGCCUCCUUCCUCCUGCUGCGUAUAAAACUCAGUCCAGUCCUGCCGUUCCUUAGUAAACACUCGGACGCACCUUUGACCUACAGUGGCCCGUGGUCUGAAUGAGGUUUAUGCGUGAGUGCUUUGAAAGCUCAAUGUUGCCAUCACCUGAAGCCUAGAGGGCAGUGUGCACUGGGCACCUCACUUACACAGGAGGAAACUGAGGCUCAGAGAGGGGGAGGGGCUGGCAGUGUGGGAGCUGCAGUCCUUGAUCUGAGCUGUCCCCGUGACUUUGGGAGAUGAGGAAGGAGCAUUCUGUGGCUUGGCUGGGGGAGCCCAGGUGGGAGGGGAGGGUGGGGACACAGUGGCUGGUGGGCGGGGGGGUGCCUCUGAGCCGCCUGGGCCACAGGCAAAGGGGUUAGGGAGGUGAGAGGGGAGCUUGGGGGCAAGGGUCAUGUGUCUCCACGGCCGGGCAGGUGCACACUCCCAGGGAGGCCACGAGGACUCUGUGGCCCGGGGAUUGGAGUGAACCACGCUGAAAGGUCAGAGGGCAGUGUCCCAACAACAGUGCCCCCGUUCCAGCCCCAACGGCAGCCCAGGGGUUCCCAGGCCCACCCUCACUCUUGCAGGGGUCCCCAGGCCCACCCUCACUCUUCCAGGGUUCCCAGGCCCACCCUCACUCUUCCAGGGUUCCCAGGCCCACUCUCACUCUUCCAGGGUUCCCAGGCCCACCCUCACUCUUGCAGGGGUUCCCAGGCCCACCCUCACUCUUCCAGGGG